GCUAGACACAGUCGCAUGUGCCUAUAGUCCCAGCUACUUAGGAGGCUGAGACAGGAGGAUCACUUGAGUCCAACAGUUCUGGACUGUAGCACGCUAUGCCAAUCAGGCGUCUGCAGUAAGUUCAGCAUCAAUGUGGUGACCUCCCGGGAGUGGGGUCCAUCAGGUUGCCUAAGGAGGGGUGAACCAGCCCAGAUUGGAAACAGAGCAGAUCGAAACUUCCAUGCUGAUCAGUAGUGGAAUCGCUCCUGUGAAUAGCCACUGCACUCCAGCCUGGGCAACAUAGCAAGAACCUGUUUCUU
rfam:Otolemur garnettii contig125115, whole genome shotgun sequence.